GCCAGUGUGGCAUAAUGGUUUGAGCAUUGGACUAUGACUCUGGAGACCAGGGUUCGAUUCUCUGUGCAACCA
rnacentral:tRNA from 1 species